rnacentral:rRNA from 1 species
UACGUAGGUGCAAGCGUUGUCCGGAAUUAUUGGCGUAAAGAGCUCGUAGGCGGUCUGUCGCGUCGAAUGUGAAACCCGGGCUCAACCCGGGCCUGCAUUCGAUACGGGCAGACUCGAGUCCGGUAGGGAGUGUGGAAUUCCGGUGGUAGCGGUGAAUGACGCAGAUAUCGGGAGGAACACCAGUAGCGAAGGCGGCACUCUGGGCCGGUACUGACGCUGAGAGCGAAAGCGUGGGGAGCA